GCUUAACACAUGCAAGUCGAACGCUGAAGCUUGGUGCUUGCACUGGGUGGAUGAGUGGCGAACGGGUGAGUAAUACGUGAGUAACCUGCCCUUGACUCUGGGAUAAGCCUGGGAAACUGGGUCUAAUACUGGAAACGACAUGUCACCGCAUGGUGGUGUGUGGAAAGGGUUUUACUGGUUUUGGAUGGGCUCACGGCCUAUCAGCUUGUUGGUGGGGUAAUGGCUCACCAAGGCGACGACGGGUAGCCGGCCUGAGAGGGUGACCGGCCACACUGGGACUGAGACACGGCCCAGACUCCUACGGGAGGCAGCAGUGGGGAAUAUUGCACAAUGGGCGAAAGCCUGAUGCAGCGACGCCGCGUGAGGGAUGACGGCCUUCGGGUUGUAAACCUCUUUCAGCACGGAAGAAGCGAAAGUGACGGUACGUGCACAAGAAGCGCCGGCUAACUACGUGCCAGCAGCCGCGGUAAUACGUAGGGCGCAAGCGUUGUCCGGAAUUAUUGGGCGUAAAGAGCUCGUAGGCGGUUUGUCGCGUCUGCUGUGAAAGCCCGGGGCUUAACCCCGGGUGUGCAGUGGGUACGGGCAGACUUGAGUGCAGUAGGGGAGACUGGAAUUCCUGGU
rnacentral:rRNA from 1 species